UACGUAGGGGGCGAGCGUUGUCCGGAUUUAUUGGGCGUAAAGAGCGUGUAGGCGGCUAGGUAGGUCCGUUGUGAAAACUCGAGGCUCAACCUCGAGACGUCGAUGGAAACCAUCUAGCUAGAGUCCGGAAGAGGAGAGUGGAAUUCCUGGUGUAGCGGUGAAAUGCGCAGAUAUCAGGAAGAACACCCGUGGCGAAGGCGGCUCUCUGGGACGGUACUGACGCUGAGGCGCGAAAGCGUGGGGAGCGAACAGG
rnacentral:rRNA from 1 species